rnacentral:lncRNA from 10 species
CACAAAUGUCUGCUCUCUGCCCUAUUAUUCAUACAAAGUCUGGAACAGACUGUCUCUCAUUUUGUUUAUCACUGUAUAUCCAGUACCUGGCAUACUGUAGGUACUCAACAUUCAUGGAAAGAGAGACAGGAUAUCAAAGUGUAUUCCACUGAAGUGAAUUCUAUAGGCUUUACCAGUAGUUAAUUCAGGAUUUUGUGCUAUCAUCUACUCAGCUCAAGCCCAACAAUUCUGGUUCUUAGUUUUCCUCAACCCCACACUGGUUUGGUAUAAAAAAGACCCAGUGGUACAGUGGACAUGAGAAGUCCAUGUGACCUGGAAAGCCAAGAGCUUGAGAUAGAAGUCUCUGGCCCUUAGUCUAAACUUACUGAUUGCUGGAAGCUGUGGGACAGGGUUGCACUAGACUCAGGCACAGGGCUAUGGCCCUUCC